UAGAGCUUCUCCUUUUGGCCCAGCUCUCUCUUCACCACUACAGACCGGUACAGAACCCACUUCACUGCAGACGCAGUACCAAUACGCCAUGAAAAGUCCUGCAUGUUGCUCUGUAAGCUUCCCUCACUUAGGUCCUACUUUAACAUACUGGCAACAGCAGACCAGUUUUAUUAAUUUUAUAACUUGAAAGGUUUAUUGAUAGAAUUAGUGAUCUAGACAUUGAUUUUAAAGCCAAAUAUUUAGCUACAAGCUAAUUAUUUAGCUAGCAGACUACAUCUUUAUUUUAAAACUAACUCGAAGCUACAUAUUUAGCUCUAAACUACACAUUUUCUCAGAGUUAAAUACAGUAUAUAACUAAUAUGGAAAUUCACGUGUUGAUUACCGGAAAUGGACUACCAAAAUGAAAGCUGGGUCUCGCAGGCCUCUACAUAAUAAACUCCUGACGGUGAGCCGGCGCAGUCACUGUUGCCAUGGAUCCACUGGUAUACAGUAUACUGCUAUUGCCAUUGAAAUGGCUCAUCCUAUGUUUUAAGCUGAAAUGUUGUGCAUGAGCAACCCAAAUUAUUGCUGUUCAUUUCUGACUGUGCAAAUUUUCCAAACGGGACCCCACAGUAUGGAACCUAAGAAACGCUCGGUUUUUAUUGGGUUUUGAUACAAAGAGCGCUUCAGUUGGGAUAAUAGAUUCCUUUUACUCUUAGCACUAUUAUCCAGACUAAACCCUCACAUAUCCCUUUAAACAGCUGUGUUGAAAAAAUAUUGAUAAGUUCCACAAUAAAGACAAGCAAAGCAGAAAAGUUGUACACUGUAAAACCAAAGGAACGCUGGUCAAGGAUACGUCUGAAACCAAGCAGGGUCCUCUCAGUAGAACCAGUAAUGUGCUGAGUUGCAGAAUCCGGUGGAACAUAAACCAUCUCAGAUGCAGCAUCAUGCCUUCAGCUCUCCAUUUCCCCUACCAUCAAAUUAUUAUUUAAAAGGAAAACAUCUUCCAAAACCCUCGGUUUGGAAUCAGGCGUGUGGUGUGGGUUUCUGGGAACCGGACGAGAGGCACGUCUUUCACUUAAAGGGGCACUUCUUGGUUUCUCUCCGAUAUGAAUUGUUUAAUUCGUGCCUGGAAGGGCCCCAUUCAAAGCAGCUGUCUGCCAUUAGGACUGCUAUUCUUGUUUACAAAGUGGGGUUGUUAGAUUACGGCUGAGAGAGAAUCCUAAAUCCGAACCGACCCCAAGAAUCAGCUCCCCCUCAACCUCCUGCUCCUCUCAAUCAUCCGGAAUAUGGAGAUGAGAUUUUAUUUUUCCUCUUCUGUCAUUUCAGAAAAAUGUUCCAUGUGGAAGUUAGCUGCUCUCUCUCCGGCAGACGGAGCAGCAGAUAGUGUGACUGAUCAGGGAUUUUUUUUUAAAGUUCGAUGGGGAAUAGAAAACAAUUCCCCUCUCUGCUUCAACAAUAAUGACAUAAGUUCUCGUGUUAGUCCUACAAAUCCAUCAGCUGGGAGUUAUUUCAUCAGUCAAUUGGUCCUUUUAUUGUCAAUACCUGCUUCCUUUCUCCUUUAUUGUACUUCACUUGAGCUUGCGUACAGUGUUUAACAAAAAACUCCUUUGUUUUUUUGCCGCAGACACUUGUGUGUUGGAGCAUGAAGCAAGUAGUGACAAAUAUCCCCUAUUUGCUCGGUUGCAUUGCUUAGCAUUCAUCCAUGCAGCCUGAUAGGAUCAACGUUAUCCUGUUUGGCACGUUUUCCCCUCAUUUGGAAUGUACUCAUUAUGCCUUCCAUCUCUAAAGUUGCAUUAAUGUAAACGCAGCUGCAAAACGACCAGAUCAACAGCAGCCACCCGAAAGACGACGCUUCGAUCGACACAAAGGGCUUUGAGAUCUUCGAUCACAAAAACCUCGGUGAACUCUGUGAAUUAGACGAAUGUCGUAAUGAAAGUUUCCAGCAUGUGUAACCAACGAAAGAGAAGUCAGAUCUCUGGAGAUCAUGGAGUCCCACAAGCCAUGCACCAGCAGAGUGAAAUAUUCCCUAUAGGCAGUGAAAACAGAGAACCUUCAGAAAAACAAACAGGAAACGUCUUUAAAUUUCAAGAACACUGCAGACAUCCCGUACCGUGGAGGAAGAGACGCUGCAAACCUGCAGCUUUUUUUUGGUGACCUUGGGUUUGUUUAUUCUUCUUUGAAGAAAAAACAUCUAUACAGAUAAAUGUGCCAUAUUUAAGUUCCAAAACUAAGAGGUCUUUUUUUUUUUUUUCUUUUACUGAUUCAGGAUUCGGUCCAUUUAAUUUCACUAAUAUGGAAAACGCCGCGCAACAAAUUAUUCCAAAUGACUGGCAGGAAGACAGAAAUGUUCAUCUGCACGACGGGGAAUCUACUCGGUGUUGCGUGGAAAGUAUUACCUGCUGCUGUGAGCCCUUUCAGGCCUUUCACCACGGUUGAUGUUCUGAGUCAAGUUUGGGUAUUUACAGAAUUAACCGUGACUCUGUCCCAUUUUGAGAUCAUUUGUGAAAACGUGAAGACGUUACAGGAGGCAGCUGGAGGUGUUGGGAGAACGGAAGGUUUUCUUCCUCUCUUGAAGCACAUCAGCAGAGCCGCACAGAAACUAUUUGUGUGGUUAAUCAGAUUGCCAUCUGCUGGAGUGUUGCUGUAACAACAAGUGAAACCCUCCCAGAAGGUUUCCUUCAUGUUACGUUUCCUGCAGAAAAUUCAAAUAUUGUGGGGCUUUUUUUUUUUUUUUAAAUGUUUUUGCCUAAAAUAUUGCCGCAUGUGUCAACCAGAUGUGGUUGUUUUUUGGCUGCACUUUGUUCAGCAAUUCCACGUUUUUUCUCGUCAUGUAUCCAGACUUAUCCGGGUUAUUUGGAGUGAGUCAUUUCUGCUCCAUAUGGACUGUUUGUAUUUGUAAAUUUGACUCAAAUGCUAAAUAGUUUUCAAAUUUAUUCUGGGAUCAGUGACAGCAUCGUGAGUACAAAUAUAAGUGGCAGGUGAUUUUUUUUCCUCUCUCUCUCUCUCUACAUCUGUUUACGAAAUGCUUUGAAGAACAACACAAUUACCUCAAACCAAAGUGUAUCUAAAAUACAUUUUAAUCUUGCUGAAAUUUUUUGUUUUUCACAAUAUUGUUUACAAUAUGAAUCCAUCGCCAUUCUCCUCCUCAUCCUCACUCGGGCUCUUCUUUGCCGUCUCGAAACGAAGCCGUACAAUCAUGUUCAUGUAAAUUUUUCUACAUCAAGGCACAAGACAAAGUUGUGUGGGGAGGAUCUUUACCAGGGUAAAAGGGGGAAUGUUAAGAUGUGACUCUCAGCGGGGGGUCGGCGCUACAAAUGUGCUCUAACGAGGUGAAACGUGGGGCGAAAAAAAGAAAGUGAUGACCACUGCUGUUUUCAUUUUAUUUUCCAAUAAUAAGUCAUGUAUAAAAAAGAGUAACCAUCGGGAUGUUUUUUUUUUUUUUUUUUUUUUUUACUUUAAGGAGUUCAUUUGUUCAUGUACAUAAAGUAAAGAUGCUUUUUUUUCCCAAUUUUUUUCCAGUUAUUUGCCAAAAGC